rnacentral:rRNA from 1 species
GUGUCAGCAGCCGCGGUAAUACGGAGGGUGCAAACGUUGCUCGGAAUCAUUGGGCGUAAAGCGCACGUAGGCGGUCCACUAAGUUGGAUGUGAAAGCCCUGGGCUCAACCCAGGAAGUGCAUACAAAACUUGUGGACUUGAAUAUGGAAGAGGGUCGCGGAAUUCCCGGUGUAGAGGUGAAAUUCGUAGAUAUCGGGAGGAACACCAGUGGCGAAGGCGGCGACCUGGGCCAAUAUUGACGCUGAGGUGCGAAAGCGUGGGGAGCAAACAGGAUUAGAUACCCGCGUAGUCC